rnacentral:lncRNA from 1 species
AUGAAAUCCUGCUACAAAUCAUUGCUUAAAAUUACCAUUGCUAUAUUAUUGAUGCAUUUAGUUUACAAUAAUAAAGCCUUAGCCAGAGUUCACCCACCAUCUUCUUUGUCUUCAGCUACUUCUUCAUCCUCUCAAGCUCUCCUACAUACACACUCAGACAAGAAAAAGCCAGUCACCACCGAGCCAGUAUUCGAUAGCCUUCGAAGAAUACCUCCUAGCAUUCCGAAUCCUACUCAGAACAAGUAA